GAUGAACGCUGGCGGCGUGCCUAAUACAUGCCAGUCGAGCGAACGGACGAGAAGCUUGCUUCUCUGAUGUUAGCGGCGGACGGGUGAGUAACACGUGGAUAACCUACCUAUAAGACUGGGAUAACUUCGGGAAACCGGAGCUAAUACCGGAUAAUAUUUUGAACCGCAUGGUUCAAAAAUGAAAGACGGUCUUGCUGUCACUUAUAGAUGGAUCCGAGCUGCAUUAGCUAGUUGGUAAGGUAACGGCUUACCAAGGCAACGAUGCAUAGCCGACCUGAGAGGGUGAUCGGCCACACUGGAACUGAGACACGGUCCAGACUCCUACGGGAGGCAGCAGUAGGGAAUCUUCCGCAAUGGGCGAAAGCCUGACGGAGCAACGCCGCGUGAGUGAUAAAGGUCUUCGGAUCGUAAAACUCUGUUAUUAGGGAAGAACAUAUGUGUAAGUAACUGUGCACAUCUUGACGGUACCUAAUCAGAAAGCCACGGCUAACUACGUG
rnacentral:rRNA from 1 species